UAAGUUAGUAGUGAAAGCGUUCGGCUUAACCGGAUAUACAUUACUAAAACUGCUUUGACUAGAGAAUGAGAGAGGUAGCUAGAAUUCCUUGUGUAGGAGUGAAAUCCGUAGAUAUAAGGAGGAAUACCGAUGGCGUAGGCAGGCUACUGGCUCAUUUCUGACACUAAGGCACGAAAGCGUGGGGAGCGACCGGGAUUAGAUACCCCGUUAGUCCACGCCGUAAACGAUGGAUGCUA
rnacentral:rRNA from 1 species